UCGAGACUUUUAAAAGGCUGAUCCUUUUCAGGAUCAGGCCUCUGUUGAAAGUGUAAUUUGAAAGCAAAAGGUAGUGCGCUUUUGGUUUGAGUAGUUUCUCGUUAAUUUUCUUAAGAAGAAGUGGAAGUGUUAAUAACCUUUGUGUUUCUUUGUUUUAGAAAUAAGCUGUUAAAAAUACAAUAGAUUUAAUUCUCCAAUUCAUACCAAUUGUGGGAAUUGAUUUGCUUCAGAAGAAAGGUCCACAAAGCGGGCCUUUUUUCUUUUGGUUUUUCCUCAGAACUGCCAAGACGACUGAAAGGCGGCAAGUGAGAGCAGUGAAAUCGGGGUUGAGAAGCCACAUUCCGUCGUCGAAAGCCGCGGCUAUUCCCCCUGCUAGUUUACCAUCCCACCGUCUCGCCGUCAGUAGCUGGUCGGAAAAAGUGCCCUCAGUCUCCAUUACUGGCAAGCCACCACCAGCGCGAUACCCCGGAGAGAUUCCGCCGUAGUGCGGUAGUGCCAACUGAUAGAAACCGCCUGGACGUCGCUUCAGUUCGUCGCCGACGCCGCUGGGAAGCGUGGAGGACGCCUAUUCCCACGCCCAUCCAAGAAAGUGCUUCAAGCCGCCGAUCCCCAUCACCGCCUAGACACCGCAUCGGUCCGUCGCAAACGCCGCCGGUAAACGUGGAGGUCGCCAAUUCCCACAACCGGCCAAGAUAGUGCGCCGAUCCUUAUCAUCGCCAAGACACCCCAUCAUCAAUCCGUCGCAGACGCCGCCGGGAAACGUGGAUGACGCCAAUUCCCACAACCGGCCAAAGAUAGUGCUCCGAGCCGCCGAUCCACAUCAGUCGGCAACCGGAUGAGAAGCAUGUCCCCCCACCAACCAGCCCGCACCAAGCAUCAAAUGAACACGCAAGUACCAUUGUAACCACCAUAUAAUAAAUUAUAAAAUGUAAGCUAAA